rnacentral:lncRNA from 1 species
GUACCUGAUAACAUCAGAGGGUAGAAGACACACAGAGAGUUUCCGUGACCUUAUCCCCUAUGUGAUCUUGUCCAGUGUGACGGCUUUCCCCACUGGAGAAAUAUCAAAUCCCUAAGAAUAAUGACAUCAUAAUAGCUCAGUCUCAUACCUCAGAUGUAUCCUGCAAGAUCUGGAAGGAAUGUGGAUGUCAGAGAAGAGCAUGAGGAGACUUAAGAAACAUAACUUUGAGUUGAAAUUCUUUCAGUAUUAGUAAUAAAUCAUUUUGAAGGGAAAUGAGGAAGAUGGGUCAUCUAGGUGUUGUCCAGUUAUCCUGCCUGAGACAUCUACCUUUGGAUGAGAGAGACAUGAGAGUAGAAACAUUCCAUCCCCGCACUGUGAUACAGAUGACUUUCACAGGAG